rnacentral:rRNA from 1 species
UACGAAGGGGGCUAGCGUUGCUCGGAAUCACUGGGCGUAAAGCGCACGUAGGCGGCUUUCUAAGUCAGGGGUGAAAUCCUGGAGCUCAACUCCAGAACUGCCUUUGAUACUGGAGAGCUUGAGUCCGGAAGAGGUGAGUGGAACUCCGAGUGUAGAGGUGAAAUUCGUAGAUAUUCGGAAGAACACCAGUGGCGAAGGCGGCUCACUGGCCCGAUACUGACGCUGAGGCACGAAAGCGUGGGGAGCAAACAGGG